rnacentral:misc_RNA from 1 species
GCAAACUUGGUCAUUUAGAGGAAGUAAAAGUCGUAACAAGGUUUCCGUAGGUGAACCUGCGGAAGGAUCAUUAACAAAUCAUAGUGCGGGGAGAGGUAGGAGAAGGGGGGGGAGAGUGUGUGUGUGUGGGUGGUGUGGUUAUAUAUGUGAGGGAAAGAGAGAUCUAACCUCACAAUAUUAUCGCUCACUCAUUCACCUACCACCACCUGCCUACCGCUUACCCAAACCAAACCGGGCCUCCGAGAGGAGGUUCGCCUGUAGACAGUGGUGGUGUGGUAAAGUUGUUAUUAACAAAAUGACUACUAAGCUAUAAGCUAAGCUGUCUGCAGAAAUAGGCAAUGAUAAUAAUGUAUGUCUUAAAUAUUGUUAUAUUUUGAAAUAUAAACAACUUUUAACAAUGGAUCUCUUGGCUCCUGCAUCGAUGAAGAACGCAGC